rnacentral:rRNA from 1 species
UACGAGGGGGGCAAAUGUUGUUCGGAAUCACUGGGCGUAAAGGGAGCGUAGGCGGGCUCUUAAGUUAGGUGUUUAAUCCCGGGGCCCAACCCCGGACAGGCACCUAAAACUGGGAGUCUUGAAUAGUGGAGAGGACGGCGGAAUUGGGGGUGUAGCGGUGGAAUGCGUAGAGAUCCCCAAGAACACCAGUUGCGAAGGCGGCCGUCUGGACACAUAUUGACGCUGAGGCUCGAAAGCAUGGGGAGCAAAC